rnacentral:rRNA from 1 species
UGUGCAUAUCACCCUGAAUGUGCCUGAUCUUGUCUGAUCUCAGAGGCUAAGCAGGGUUGGGCCCGGUUAGUACUUAGAUGACAGAGGAAAGGCAGACAAAAUAU